GUGGGUAUCAGACCCGCUGAAGCGCUGCGGCUCCAUCGCAGGGAAGGGCAGCAAAAUAUCCAGCUAGCUGGCAGGAAGGCACUCUGUGUGACAUCUUCCUCUAAGGAUGUAGCCUCUGCAGUCUCAGGAAUGUUCCAAACCUUUUCAGUGAAGGAGGAAACACGGAGAAGUUCUGUUCUGCUUCAAAAUGUCACGGAAUCACAGAAACAUCAAGGUUGGAGGAAACCUUCAUGGCCAUCCAGUGAGCAAAAAGGAGUGAAAGGAGAAAUGACUCAAAUGAAAGACAACAGCCCUUUGCUUCAAUCAAGAGUUAUCUGAAUUUGUGUAACACAAACAGCAAUCUCUGCUUAUUCUCUUUCUGGAGUAAAUGAAGCUCUACUCUGAAAAACAGCUGGGAAUUGCUUUGUGGACUCCUCUGCUCCUCUUCCAGAGGUCUCUUGUCCAAAGACACUCCCUAAUGGAGUGAAUAAAAUCAGUUUUAUCUCAAUCUGCCACCCCUUCACAAACUGCUUAGACUGCAAGAGUGACAUGAAUUUCUUCCUGGCAUAAUCAAAUAACCAGUCACAGAAUCAAUGAUGAGCUUUCAGUCAUUGCAGGUCAUACAGGAGCAGCACAGACUUUUGUUUUUCCUCUCAGGCUGUCUGUGCAGGAGUUGCUGAAGUGAAAUCCUGCUUAAAUAUCUGCUUGGGAAUGGAGCUGUUGGAAUCAGAUUCCUGGUCUCAAUUGUUUCUCAGGGAAAAACAUUGCACUAAAGAACCAGUGCUGAAAAACCAGAAAUGUAAUACAAACAUCUGUGGAUUAGAAGUUCUUGUGCCAAAGGAAUAUUUCCCCUCUGGGCAUUUUCCUCCAGGAAAGGUGGAUUUUUUUAGCUCAUGAGAACUCUGACACAGGGCCUGGAGAGCCCACAGACAAGCCACAUAUUUCAGAUGUUCCCAACUUCCAUCCAAAACUCAAGUCAGUUACCUUUCACAGGAAAAAAGAAAGGAAAAAAAAAAGAAUAUAAAAAGGUUAUUUUUUCUUGCUUGAAGCAUUAGUUGGUGGUGCCAGGGUACAACUAACCAGGCUUGAUGGCCCUCACCAGGCUCUCCAGGAGCCCCUGCACCUUGCUCAUGGGUCCAGGAGCUUUAGGGUCAGGAAAACACAUCCUGGGAGGAGCAGCUGAGGGAGCUGCAGGGGCUCAGCCUGGAGGAGGCUCAGGGGGAACCUCA